rnacentral:rRNA from 1 species
GACAGAGGAGCCAAGCGUUGUCCGGAUUGACUGGGCGUAAAGCGCACGCAGGCGGACUGGCGCGUGGGGUGUGAAAGCUGGCGGCUUAACUGCCAGUCGCCAUCCCAUACGGCCGGUCUGGAGCCUUGCAGAGGGCGGUGGAAUUGCCGGUGUAGUGGUGAAAUGCGUAGAGAUCGGCAGGAACACCCAGGGGGAAACCAGCCGACUGGGCAUCUGCUGACGCUGAGGUGCGAGAGCGUGGGGAGCGAACCGG